UACGUAGGGUGCAAGCGUUGUCCGGAAUUAUUGGGCGUAAAGAGCUCGUAGGCGGUCUGUCGCGUCGGAUGUGAAGAUCCAGGGCUCAACCCUGGACCUGCAUUCGAUACGGGCAGACUAGAGUUCGGCAGGGGAGACUGGAAUUCCUGGUGUAGCGGUGAAAUGCGUAGAUAUCAGGAGGAACACCGGUGGCGAAAGCGCUCGUCUGGCCCAAUACUGACGCUGAUGCGCGAAAGCUAGGGGAGCAAACGGG
rnacentral:rRNA from 1 species